GUCACCACAUAACCAAUAGAUAUCACCGAUUGUCUUUGUGUGAUUCAUUAGCAGUGAUACAGGUGGACUAUGGUAAGUUGAGCAGUAUCCUGAUGGGAAUUUGCCCAGAUACGAACCAGUGUUUUCUGGUAUUGAAUAGCAUGUGUAAUUACCUGGGUAGAUGGUGACUCCAUCGGGUGGUUUCACAUGUCCGUGAGUGAUUGGGUAAAUCUUCUUCCAGGAUUCACAUGUUGAGGAGUUAG